CCGAUCAAGAAUCAGCUGUUUUAUAUCAAUCCGCGUGUGAAAAAACACUGUCCACUCAUUCCAACCGCAUUACUCAAUUAACGUGUUGUUACGCGUGAAAAAUAUAGUUCUGUUAAAAAAUUGUAAAGAUCACAUUAUUGCAGUUAUAUUUCUGUCCGAUUUACACAGCGUACACUAUCUAGCAUUGAUAAAGAAGACAGGUUUCCAAAAAAGUUCAUCAGGGUUUUUAAUCAAAGCUUUUUUCGACAAGAUCUCGUCACUGACAGACAGCCCCCGUCGUGCAUCGGCAGAUACAUGCACUUCACAUUGAGAAGAGGAAACACGGAAAACCUGUCAAUUUUUUCAUGUGUUAUUCGAUAAAAAUGCCAAAAACUGUAUCAACAACAUAGAAGGAAUGUACAGAAGUCAUGUUUGAUUGAGAAAAGUUACGAAAAGUAGGUAAACUUUGAAAAAUACGAUUGCUGUCAGUGUCGGAAAGAAUGACCCGACUUGACCCAGAUUUGAGACAGCUGAAACCAAGUUGCAAGUUUAUUCCGGACAAGAAAUUCUGUAGACUACUCAGAGUCAGAAUCAAUGAGUAUUCUUCUCUUCGGGGCCGGUAGAUGACUGUCGACAGUGGAGUGACCCGAGUCGUUGGAAGAAAUGGUGAAAUUAAAAACCCCUCCAUAUAUGGGCCCCGAGAACAGGGUGUGCACCGUGUGCAGGGAAUGGACGUCAUGUGUGAUUUGUGACAAGUGUGACUGAUGGGAAACAUGACACUGUGCAGAUUGAUGGGGAACUAGUGCAUCUGGGAUUCUGGGUGGAUUUGACAAACACGCUUGUGGAGUGGAUAUAGAAGAUGACAGGAUUUUGUUGAUAUCUUGAUGUUGUGAUUCAUUAUUGUCGAAUAACUGUUGAUGGACUGGACGUUCUUGUGGCCAGAAACUUGCAUAAUUUGAUGCGCUGGGACACCAUUGUCGGAUAAAGUUUGGAUCAUUCGUUUUCUAGCGCUGUGGUUCCUCAACCUUUUGUCUGACGACGGUCCAGCCCUGGAUGCCAUGGUCUUCAUGAGAGAGCCUAACUUGUUUCUACCAACAGGUUGGCGUUUUAACCAGGUGUUUUCGGAUUUUACGCCGAACUGUGUGUUUGGUGCAAGAUAAAAUGGACUCGCAUCAUUGCUAAAGUCUCGCGGGCGAACAUCCCGAUACAACUUGUAUACUGCCACCGGACAACAUUCAUCCCCAGGUUGAGCCCACGCUUUGGGUGCCAAGUCACGGGAUUGAUCACCCUGUCAUGUUUUUGACUGGCGUUCCAAUUACUCUAAAUAUUCCUUAUUAUCGGAAUCAGUCUUGAGUGUGACGUCGCCCCACUGCAUGCUUCUGUGGGGCGUGGCCGACCGCAGUCCAAAGAAGACUGUAUUGUUCCACCACAAUGUUUUUAACACAGCAUCUGGAGACUUAGUGCCAAGCUGUCCGGAUUCACGGAGUUUAUUCAGUUCCAUGUCGGACACAGGAUCAGCUCGCUGGGUUAAGAACUGUUCCAUGUCAUCAUCGUUCACAAAGGCAAACCUGUCUGCAUUCAGUCCGGUGUUUGGAUUCGGGGGGUCGAAAAAGUCGUCAAACAGCAAGUCCUCUAGCACAGACGCUGGCAACCCCGGACUUGGUGGUGUUGUGUUUUGCGCACUAGAAAUAGUCUCUGGCAAAACUCGCAAUCUGAAUCUUGGAACUUCUAUCUGGCCAUAUGCAGUUUUGACAACAAAUACAUUAAAUGUGUUCAGAGGUUGAAUUAUGCGAAUAACUCUUCCUGUCAGAUCUCCGUCCACUUUAACGGGGUCAUUUACUUUGACAGGUGUCAAAUGGUCAGCCAUGUUUGUUUACAAACAACGCAGACGUAUUUUUCUUUUUUGUAAUUACGCUUAUUGUAAACUAAAACUCGUGCGAAAUAAAUGCUUUAUUCAUUAAAA
rnacentral:lncRNA from 1 species